UUUUUAGCAUAAAUAUAUCUUAUGCAAUAUUUGGGGCAUACUUAUUCUAAAA
rnacentral:pre_miRNA from 1 species